GUCCAAUACUUUUCCUGGGAAAGUGCUCUUUUGCCUUUCGAAAAGUAAAAAACCAUAUUGUAAAUGCAUUAACAUUCCAGAUAUAAGCAAAUGCAAGAAGGUGUUGGAUGUUUGGGAGAAUUUCUUGAUAAGAGAAAUGAUGAUUGAAAUCUUGAAAUCCCCGUUAACUGAUAUAAGAGACUAAACAUUGUUUAGUACAAGAAGAUAAUAAAAGAGGGAGGAACAAAAUCUGCCAUAGAGUGAGUAAGCAACUACAUGCUGUCAGCUUGGAGAAAAUUCCCCUGUUCAUAGUCAGAGUGUAGCCCGAGAACACUUUCAUUACCACUUUCUUCUUCCACACAGCACACAGCACACAUCUAACCACUUCCAGCAUUAUUCUGAAAGGGGGAAAAAAGAUGUUCGCCAUUAUGCCAUUUUUAAUUAUCGUCCUGUCAUCAGACUACACCAAAGGUAAGCAAUGUAACUAUAGUUUUGCAUUUUAACCACAUAGACUGUUUUAAAGUCUUGAACGUCUUUGAUUUUCCGUCUUUAACCCACAACAUGAAGUUUUAGAGUUUUAAAAGGAUUUUGAUUUUGUAUCCCAUUCUGUCACAUGCUUAGCAUACACUCCGCAAAAAAGAAACUUUUGCUCCUCUCACAUUCAAAUUUCUUAACGUGUAAAUAACAUGCGCAAUAAUUGUUUAUGGUUCAUUAAGCAAGCAUGAAAAAUAUUGUUUAAGCCCUUAUAGAUCUGUAAAACUUAUUUGGACUUAAAAUGAGCUUAUUUGGAAAUUAUCUUUAAAAUACAGUAUGCUAAAAAAUAGUUUAUAAACUUUUUUUUUUUUUUUUUUGCUGAGUUUGUAUGCAUAUAAAUAUCUAAGCAUAUGCUAAUAUUGCUUUCUGAUGCAUGCAGGUGAAAUAGAGCUGCGUGCUGUCAAACACCAGACAGUGAAUUGCAAUGAGAGGACUGUCUUACAAUGCAUUAUCAGCUCAUCAAUGCCAUUGAGCAUUGUUAAAGUAUACUGGAAAAAAACAGAAGACAAAGAUUUUGAAUGUGAUCCAACAUCCAGCAAUAGACCUCCAGGAUUUGAGUGCAACUACACAGGAGAAGCACUGACAUUAACCAUCUCAAAUCCUACACCAGCAAACAUGGGCUCGUAUUUUUGUUGUAUAAAGGCAGACUCUGGACAUGGAGCAAAAGAAAUCAAUGUAUCUAUAGGACAAUGCACCGGAGAAUUCUCCCACCAGAUGCCUGAACCCAAACAAAUGCAGUGUAGCUUUAAUGGUGUGUACCCAGAGGGCAUGAUAAACUGGUUUCAUUAUGACAAGAACCUGACUUCCAGCUCUACAGUCACAAGUCUGGUGAACUCUGAUGGAACGUUCAGCAUCACAAGUGUCCUAAACAUCCAGGACGAUCAAGAGAAAUAUAAAUGCUCACUGUGGUCUCUCAAACACGGAAAAUACCUUAAAGAUCAAGAGUUUGAAGUACCAGUUCAUGCUGAUUCCAGGCCCAUUAGCAGAGUCAGCACACAGCAUUGUUUGUCAUGGACUCUUAUCUUUCUUUGCCUGAUGUUUUGAUUGAAAGCCUGUUUGUCUCCAACUAUCUAAGACAUGGCCACAGGAUACAGUAGUGAACUGACAACUGACCCACAGCUUCUCUCUUACUGCAUUAUGACUAUUAAUUGCACUGACAUGAAAAACCCAAACUAUUUCAAACUGCAUUUUGCAAAUGUUCUCAAUUAAUCAAUCUCAAAUGAAUUUAAAGACUACUGAAUAUAAAAAUGAUGAAAAGCUUAGUUAUUUUAGUAUCAUUGAGACACUCUUGUCGUUUUUAUUAAAUAGUAUAUAUUAGUUUUGUGUGUGAAUGUUUUAUAUACUGUAGUUUUUAUUAAUGUAAUCUAUAUAAUUUGUAUUAUUUUUUAUUAUUAUUUUAAAGUUAUUUUAAUUCACAAAAGUAAAACAAAUGAAAAGUUUCCUCUAACUUAAAAAAAAACACUUUUAAAAAUCAGUUAUUAUAAUUUUGUUACUGUAUACUGUUAUCGUUUUGUUAUUAUUAUAAUUUUUUGGUUUGUUUGUUUUUGUUUUGUGUUUUUUCCAAUGACUGCUUUGGCUAUGUGCACUUAAGAUUUGUUCUAUUUUUUUAAAACUGCCGCUAAUAAAAUUUUGAUUGUUUAUGCA
ensembl:lncRNA